CAGUGUUUUACAUCAAGCAAGAAGAGACUCCUGAUUACAUUGCCUGCAAAGCCAGAACUAUGGUUUUUCAUAAUAAAGUGGCGGUUUUUCUUGUUCUUCUUGCCUGGGCAACAACAGAAUUUGCCUGGAACGCAAAUGCACAUCAUGGUUGGCAUAACUGGUCGUGAUUUGGCGUUCACAGUUACAAAUAUAUCGGAAUCAAGAUGGACUGGGCUUCUGCUGAGCAAUACUGUCUGAAUCUUGGUGCAAACUUGGUCUCAAUACAUAGCGAGGCUGAAUAUCGGCAUGUCAAGUCUGUUAUCCGUGCUAAAGACCGCAGUGAGGGUGCAACAUGGAUUGGCCUUUCUUGCUGUGCGAAG